UCUCUCUCUCUCUCCCCAUAUCGCCGUGACCAUUGUCACGCUGCAAAUCUGUCGAUCAAUAAAAACGUGAAUAAUGCAUUUCCAUUGCGCAUUUCUCAUUACUAGUGAAAAAAACUCUAGUUGGUAACUCUUCCUUGUGAACUUGCGAACUCGCACUUGGCAUCUCUGAUUAAACACGAUUUAAUAAGUCCGUAACGUUGUACUCCAAUCAACAUACUAUUAUGUUACACUUAAGCGCAGCGAUCGGCGCAAGAUUUCGAGAUAGAACGUAUAAUUUUACUUUUAAUCAUUAUCGCGCGUAACGAGGCGCGUCAAGUUUAGGUGCGCAAUAAUAGCGCAGCAAUAGAGCGCGCGGUUCAAGCGGCGCACUUCGUAAUCAUCGUCAUCAUCGGCCAGCUUAUUAUUAUCGUUACCUUCGCGCUUACCAUAGCGCGGAUAGCUAGAAGGAGGAUUAAAGCAGAAAUAUCCACAAUGCUGCGACGGGCGAGGUAAAAAAAAAAAGCGCCUCGAAAUAUCAGGCACACGAGAUGGAAGGUUGCAGCACGCGCGCGAGCUUCGAAACAACAUGUUACAUAGACGCCAUAAUCUUCUCACUGGCUUAUGUCUUAUUGUCUUUCAUCGAACAAAGGCAGAAAUUAAUAAUCACGAGACAGAACAAUGCACGUGACCCGUCAUGUGCAUCCGCGAUGCGUAACGAGACACGCGGAGCUAAAACCGGGAAUAACAACGCUGAAUCAGACAACGUUGUAUCAUCCCGCGCGUCGCGUCGGCUUUACUUCUUUUGUUAUCUCCCGUCUCGCAGACUUUUUCUUAUCACAUUUCAUCACUGACUUUUAUAUGACUGAGAAAUACGCUGAGACUACGAAAAGCGUCGUCGAUAUCCAAGGCCUGAUAAGACCAAAAAUAAUUAUGUGCAGAAACGUAUCUUUCUCAUUACUUUUAUCAUCUUUUGCAAUUCAAUUGGCAUCAAAAAUCUGAAUAAAAACUUUCAUAAUGUUCAGUAUCAAGAUUCAGUAUUCUACCGCGAGAACUAUAUUUAUCGCUAAAACUGAGAAGAGGAUCGUUAAACGUUUCGUUUUUUUCCUCCUAUCCGGCGUUGAGUACGAAGAAAGAGGAAUGUUUAAAGAAUGACAUAAUGCCUUUAACACGUCAUGCUGCGCUACGACAUUCAUGAAAUAGUAGCAUUAGGAUUCUAUGCGACAUCAUAUACGAUUGCGAUCACCGCGCGCGCAUCACCGCCUUGCUCAUUAUCAUUAUCAUUUUCACGCCUUAGUGGCCCGAGGAAAGUCAAGAGCAGGCGUGAAUGAAGUCAUCUUCGCUGAUGCAUCGAUGCUUAUCCCGGCAGCAGCUUCCUUAAGGUUGACUCAAUCCGUUUACCGUAUUACCUGGCGCACCCUCGUCAGGAGAAGGACUGUGCGCUAGAAAAGCCGGGCGCAGAGAAAAAAAGGAAUUCAACGACGCGUGAACUACCAAUGCAUUGUUAUCGGUAAAUUCGUGAUCUCGAAUCGGAUCUAAAAUCGAAUGCUAUGACAGAUCAAUCUCUCCAAUUAUUCAUACUAGGCAGACAAACCCGUUGUUUACAUUGUUCACGCUAAGAGAGAAAGAACAAGACCUAUCAUGUUGGCUUUAGAAGCACGUGUCAUUCGAAUUUCAACACUAAUGUUUCAUGUAGAGGAAAUGAGAAGAUAUAUCGAUGCCGUGUGAAAUAUUUAUAGGCAAAUAAACAAUUCUUCCUUUCUUAAUGAUUAAAAAUGUACAAACGAUAGAUUAAGUUAUUUUAGUAAAUAAUUAUUUCUAAAAUGUAUAUUGCCCUGUUUUUCCGUAGGGUAGAUUAUGAAAACUUAAAUUUACGAACGAGACGAUUAAAAACAUAAGGAGGAAUGACAUUGACAAAUAUACGCGGAGAAAGGAUUAGCCAAAGGGUUACUCAACGAAGAUAAAAUAUAGCUAUGGCAGCUAAGAUGUAUCCUUAAAAUAGGGAUAGCUAAAGUCGUUACUAAAACGUAACGGCUACAGUAAAAAAUAUUCGCUGCUGGAAUCAAAUGUAUGUGGCAGCGUCCCAUAAAUUGUGAUUAAAAUGCACGGUUUUACGAGUGUAAGAUACUGAGAAAUCGCUACCACUUUCGUAGCUAUUCGUGUUAAAAUACGCUUUUAAUUUUAGAUAAAGUUGUGUCUCACGGUAAAUGUAUUUUAUCUUUAAUAACCAACUUAUUCUAGCAAUGAUGGAAAAAUUCGAAUUAGCUACUGACAUUUAGCUAAUAUUUCAAAGUCAUUUCGUAUAAGUAUAAACUAUAAACACUUGAAAAAUACACUACUUAUUUUAUUAUUGUAAUAAGAGAUUGAUCCAUCAUUCGCCUUUAAUAUUGAUUUUAUUUUUGUUUGGAGUAUAUCAUGCAAUGCUUAGUCACCAGUACAAUGUUAUAUUCUUCUAGGAAAUCAUCUUUACGAGAUAUUGGAGAAUAUUUAAGAAAUAUUGGUAGAGAAAAUUUGUUUUUUUUUUACUUUGCUCUUCAAAACUGCUCACAAUGAUUCAAUAAUGUUUGAGUUAUACAGUUAUGUUGGCUGGAAAAAAAAUCAAAGUUUUGAAGAACAGAGGACAAUUUUGAAAAAUUUCUUCCUCGAGCAUCGCUUAUAUAAUCAAUUGAAUUGAAGUACAACAUUCCAUUGAUAACUAUUCUACCAUUGUAUGGCUUUAUUCCAACAGGGAUAGAACUUUUGUCAAAGACAAAGGGUAAAUUAAUCUCUUACUAAUAAGAAAAAAGCAAGUAACGUAUCUCCUAGGCGAUUACAUUAUUUUGUCCAUCCCCCGUACGUAGCAAUCAAUGUGACAAGAAAGAAGUCGAUGUUAUAAAUGACGUAAAACAAGAUAAUUAUAUUAACAGCGUCUCGUCUCGAAAGGUCUAAUAUGCAUAUGCGAAACUAUGCUGCUCGAUACUUAACAAAGAUCAUAUCUGCCGAUCGCUAACGUUACGAGCAUGCCCGCUGAAACUAGCAUAAUAUAUUACCGUUAAUAACAACAUUUGCCGUGGCUAUUAUUAUUCAUAAACGCAAAACAUCAUUCGCGCUGUUUUUCACCCACGCGGCCGAUGAAUUUAUCACAGGAUAAGAGGCAUUCGUCUUAUCCGCGCCGUCCUACGUAACUGCGAGCACAGUAUAUCAGCGUCUCGGGGUAUCGACGUUUUUCCUUCCCGACGUCCAGGUCAAUGAUGCGCACGCAUUUUUAUCUCCUGCGGCUAGUUAUGGCCCCGGCCGGUAUAAUAGCGGUUUUAACUACAUUCACAAAGUGGCGUAAUUUAUUGCGCCAUUAUACUCAGCUAAGGAGCUGCUUGUUGCGAACGACGACGGGCCGACGCGGUGAGGCGCGUGCACGCGGACGUGAUUUAAGCAAUACAAGGACUGCUGUUUCCUGACGUGAUUUAGUGAUUUAGUCUACUACCCACUGAUACAAUGACAAUGACAAAUCUACCGUCUAUCUUAUUAGCACUGGUACCGGGGAGAAGAAUGGCAAGACACAGAGGACACAGAAUCGAAAAGAAGGCGCGAUGGCUGACGAUUGCAUUCGCCAUCCACUAUGAUUUUCUCCCACUACAAUCGCUUUCUGUCCUCCUACUCUGAUGCCAGUUGGGCCACCUCUUCCUGAAAAGUGUACCAUCAUCGACCAUUGGGUGCAACUGAAAUCAAGGCUACCGAUUGGACGGCCUCUAACGCUCGCCUAGGAAUGCUGCGACCUCAUGCAACGAAUGCAACGCGCGACAUACGUGUAGAGAUGCAGAUUAACGUAAUCUCCGUGAGUACGUUAUCGGGACGAGAUCGGCGACGCCUUCGAAUUGCUCCGCAGCAGAAGGAUUUAUGUUAAUUCUUAAGUAACCUUCGCUGAAAUUAACCGUUUUGCGUAAUUCUUAAAGAUCCUUCCCCCGAGAGGGAGCCUUCAAUCGCAAUCGAUUUUUUGUUCAGAUCUUAGAAACAAACACGAUAUGUUUACAUUAAAAUUCAUGUCUAUCUUUAUUAUUCCAAUAAGAUAAACGUUACGAACCAAUCAAUCGUUUUCACUUAAAACGUUCACAUGCGUUCACAGUAUUAAAGAAACAAAAGAAAUGUCAGUGUUAUCGUUUCGCAGCAGCUUGAAAUUCCAUUAAAUUCAAUUAAUCCAUUUCUGCAUCUUUAAAUAUCGUGCAAAGCACAAUGUUUUUGUGAAGUACAAAUUAAUUUUUAGAAAAAAAAUAUAUAACGUGUGAAAAGCGUUUAAAAAUAUUGUCUAUUUAAAUAUUUUGUUUUCUUCAAUGUUAAAUUGAACCGUAACAUAAAUUGGACAUGACAGAAGAUUUCUAUCGUAACUAAAUCAAAGUAAUCUAACUAAACUGCACUAUGUAGUGUACAGAUAUUACACUAAUAUCCCUGUAAGAAUGAAUUUUAGGAGUAACGCCUCGUUCGGGCAUCAUGAAAUAAUAUUACGUCAUUCCCACGAGAUUAUUAGAUAGAUCUGUUAAACGGUGUCGCUUUUAUUACAAUCCAGCCGAAGUUAUUCGAGAUAUGAGGAAGCGUUGGAGUCUGAGCCGACGGGGACGAUAGGAAUAAGCGGUUGAUGAAGAGAAAGGUGGAGGGCCGUUAAAGCUACGGGGAGAAAGAACGAGUACGAGACAACCGCGAAAAAGACCGGCAAGUGGAAUGUCGGUUAAUUUGUAGCCAAGUCUAGUCCACGCCAUAAUCUGCGCAUGUAUCAUACUCUUUUAUAUGUGCCGAGACACACGUUGCCGCGAUCAGUAUGUCGCGUGCGUGCGUGCCGAUGUGCACUGCAGAGCGCGAAAGUCGACUUACUAUUUGACGGCAUCUUCCUCCAAUUUACCUUACAGGAUAAAAAUAUCCUAUAGACGUCAUUUCUAAAUUUUAUUUUCCUUAAAAAAAAUAUAUCCCUUAAAAAAAGAAACUGAUAAAGUUUCUUUCAAUAAAUUGAUUACUACAUCGGUAAUUGAUGAUAUUUCAUCAGAUAAUUGAAUAGUGAUCAUCAGUUACCGGUAUAGUAAUUAGUUUACCGAAACACUCAUCAGUUCUUUUUUUUUCAAGGGAGCUUUUAUAUUAUCGAAUAAUGACACGUACGUGUGUUCUUCAAUUCGGAGCACAUUUUGCACUUUUCAAAAUUUUCAAAAUUUUUGUCACAUUCAUGCUGAACUUUUGAUUAAACAGAAAGUAAUAAAUAAAAUUUUACCGUACCGACUUGUCUCAAUCUUCAACAAUCGCAAAAACCUAAUCCUAUUUAUAAAAUGUAUUCGAAUAUAGAAAAACAUGCUAGAAAAUCAUUAUCUAUACCACCGUGAAAAUAAAUUAUGUUGAUUGUGCUCCUAAUUAUAUAUUAUUAGAAGACAUUGUUUUCUACAGUAUGAAUCUCGUAGGUUAGCGCUCGUAUAUUCGAGAAGUUGUACCCGAAGUUGGACGCGGCGAUCGAAGAAGUUGAGAAAAUCUUAUUGAGGAAUCGUCGAAUCCCAAAGUGACGACUAUCGACACGGAAUUGAUAAAAAGACAUUUUGAGCAGCGUAACUGGGCAUCAAAGUGGAGUCUUCAUGCAUCUUGUAUUAUUCGACUGUUACAACCAACAAUAUGGGAAGGCCUUGCCUCACAAUUGAUAAAAAAAAUGAUUGACAAUUAUUGGCAAAUAAAUAUUUCAGUAAUGACAUUUAUGUUGUGGUUAUUGAUCGAUCGUUAAAAUUGAUGGAAGAAAUAGAUAAUAUCCACUAUUCGACUACGGACUAUUCGAUAAAGAGAAAAGAAAUCAAUGUUGCAUUCCACUAAGCAACUUAUGUGACCAAGUCUCCAAGCGAAAGCUACAACAAGCUUUUACCGUACCGGUAUUCAGAAUAUCGGUACACAAGUCGUGUCUUAGCUAUGGCAGAAAACCGCGGAAUGUACGAGAUCAUCGAGACGUGAUGUGAGAACAAAAAGUGCUUGAAAAACGUUUACUUGAUUACACACGUAAAACACUGCGGAAUACUAACAGGACGGGACUCACAAUCCCGUAAUACUUUAUCGUCCCAAGAUAAAACGAUUCUACGUGAAACCGAACGGAGGGUUUUCUUCUUACUCGACACUCUCGCAUAAGUAGGCGAUUCAAGUGCCGCUGCAUGAAGCAGAGAGUAACAAAACGUGAAACAGAGCACAAAAAGAGCAAGCCACGUGGUGGAUGAGAAGGGCACAUAAGGAAGCCAAGUUUACGAGAUGAUUGUCCUGCGGGCCCUAUUCAUUUGACAUGGAAUCUCCAGGUGGAUCUCUAUUGUAGAUUAUUGCGCCAUUGUCCAUUGUCGCAAUCCGCCACAACUGGUCGUAAGUGGAAAAAGGCAAAGAAAGAAAAAGACGGUGGUGUCACUUUAACAUGCUCGAAAUAAUUAAAAUUAUAACCAGUGCAAGAAGAGUAAAGUCUUCAUUAACCCUUAUCUUACGAGGUGGCCCCAUUGGAUCCAUACUGAAUCUUUCAACGCUCGUGUUAUACUUAAUAGAACAAUUUAUUAUCUUACUUUAAAUAAGAAUAAUACAAGACUGAUCAUUAUUAGUUUCGAUUUAAAAAAAGAGUGAACAUGAGGGAUCAAACAUCAAAAAGAUAUAAUAAAAAUGUUUUUAAAAUUAAUGAGUUUCAUUUCAUUAUAUUUUACAUGUUAUCCUUUGAAAGCAAGUCUAGUGGAACCACAUAUUAAAAGCGCAACUUUCUUCACCUCGUAAGUUAAGGGUUAAUUAUCAAUGAUAUAUAAUUUAAUGUAUUAAAUGUAUUGUUACUACAAUAUAUUCAAAGUUUAAAUUAAUUUUUUAAUGAUUAAAAAAUAUAUAUAGUAAAAAAAAGUACUGAACAAAUUGGAGCAAAACAAAUGCACGUAUUACGAACACAAGUUUGAAUGCUGACUUUUUUUAGAAUCCUAAUGAUCAAAGUUCUUUUUAUAUUGUAACAAAAGAUAUCAGAAAUUCGUAAGUUAAUGUCAUUCAAUUCAAUAUUUAUGUGAAAAACUCUUGAUCACGUCUUAAUUUCAAUUACUUUCCAAUUUAGGGGCAAAGUCAACGUGGAUGUUAAAAUUAACGGCAAUUAGCGGUAUCACAUGCCUCCCACGUUGGGCGGUCAUGAGAAGAAAGUGCAGCUUGCACGCAACGCAAGCGCAGGCGAAGGAAGUUUUACGUCCUGCGGGACAAACAUCGAUGGAAAUCGAAUGAUGCGGAACAGGCACCUGCGUGGGUACAGGCAAUUACGUAUGAAUAACUUCGACGAAAAAGUAGCCGAUGCGAUCGCACACCGACUCUGAUCUUAUCGACACGGUGUCGCGCGCAUUGCCGAAGGUCCUAGGCCCGAUAUACUCCGCGAAUUUCGAAGACAAGUGUAAUUCGGGACAUAUGCAUGUUUCAAGAUAAUGCCCAAGUUAUUCGAAGCGUAUAAAUCAUCAAAUGUGCAAUCUCACUUUAAUUACUCGCUUUAAUGACUCAAAUUAAUUAAGCGAAGACUAAUUUAUGUAUAUAAAGAUUAUGAACUGUAAUAUACACUUUUAUACCAUUAUUGGAUUAAAGUGAUUAUAUAUAAAUAUGCAAAAAAAACCUUGCAUAAUUGCUGACAAAAACAAUAAUAUUUGAUUUUAUCAUUUCCAAUUAAAUUUAGUAUUCAUAAAUUUCAAUACUCUUAAAAAUAAUUUAUAAAAUUACAAACAAAAAACAAUAUUCAUAUGUACUUCAAUUUUUAAGUUUCCUUUGCCUUCAAUACUGAAUGCAUCAUUAUUGCUGGUAAUUCUUAUCUAAUAAUUUGAACUAUUUAUAAGAUAGAAUGUCAAUCCAUUUUUUUUUCUAAAAGCUAAAAAGACUAGCACUAAUAACUUAUUUAAUAAUUUACUACAUUCUUACUUUUCUAAAAAUGUAAACAAAAUUAACAUUCUUCUAUCGUAUAAAAUCACAAAUUAUUAAAAAUUCUUAUUAAAUCCUUAUCUUGGCUUAAAUUUGAUUUGAUGAUUAAAUAUCCCAUCAAUAAAUAAAAUCGAAUAAUUAAUAAAAUAUCAAUACUAUCAAGCUACCAAAAACUGAUACGAUGAUGACGUAGCUGAUAGAAAUCAAUAAAGACACAAGUAAAGAAAAAUCAUGACAUAAUUCGCAUAUUUCACUCACGUCACAACAGACAUACAUCUUCACGGUAAUUCGAGAAACAUAACUCAAGUCCUGACGGACCGCUGAAUCAUGAGUUUCUCGCGGUAUAUACAGCCGCGAUGUGUCGGCUUCCCCUUUGCUACUUUACUUGCCUUUUUCUUCCCUGCUCAUUCAUUCUCUCGACUUGUCAACCCUACGACUACCUAAGUCCUUCGCCAAGUAUAUGUGACGACUUUUCUCUGCCACGCGCAUAUUACAACCUUUUAACCGUGUGAAAUGACCUAUAAGAGAAGAUUGUAUCAUGGCGGCAAGUGUCGCAAUAAUCGGACUUUACAGUGUCAGUAUGCUCAGUUUUCUUUGCCGCAGAACGACACAGUGAUCAAGAAUUUUUUUCGUAAUUUGUAAAUUUCCAAUAUGUAAUUUACAAAAAUUUAUAAAUAACUAUCGACAGAUUUGAAAUAAGAGCUGCGCAAGUAAGGAGGUUUAAAAUAAAUCGACAUACUCAAUAUUCUCUUAAUAAUAAUCCAGUAAAACAUUGAAUUCAUAAUACAUAUCUCGAGGCUUGAGAGUUUUUUUAUAUUAUAUUAUCUUCAUCCAUAUUAUGUCUAUUGUUCUAUGACAGAACUAUUUAGUAGCAAAGAAAAUUGUAUUAAAAUCUCAACAGUGAUGUUU